GACGAACGCUGGCGGCGUGGAUUAGGCAUGCAAGUCGAACGGUAUCAUCCUUUCGGGGGUGAGAGAGUGGCGAACUGGUGAGUAACACGUAGGUUAUCUACCCUCAAGACGGGGACAACCCAGGGAAACUUGGGCUAAUACCGGAUGUGAGCAACUUUUAGUUGUUUGAAAGGUGGCGUAAGCUGUCGCUUGGGGAUGAGCCUGCGUCCUAUUAGUUAGUUGGUGAGGUAACGGCUCACCUAGGCAAUGAUAGGUAGGCGGCCUUAACGGGUGGUCGCCCACACUGGGAUUGAGAUACGGCCCAGACUCCUACGGGAGGCAGCAGUCGAGAAUAGUCUACAAUGGUCGGAAGACUGAUAGUGCGACGCCGCGUGAACGAUGAAUCCCUUCGGGGUGUAAAGUUCUUUUAUAUGUGAGCAGUGCUUCUUAUAUUUAACAGUAUGGGGAAGAGAUAUUAGCAUAUGAAUAAGCAACGGCUAACUCCGUGCCAGCAGCCGCGGUAAU
rnacentral:rRNA from 1 species